rnacentral:rRNA from 1 species
UACGUAGGGGGCGAGCGUUGUCCGGAUUUAUUGGGCGUAAAGCGCGCGUAGGCGGUGCGGUAAGUCCGUGGUGAAAUCUCCCGGCUCAACUGGGAGGGGGCCAUGGAAACUGCCGUGCUGGAGGACGGCAGAGGAAGGUGGAAUUCCCGGUGUAGUGGUGAAAUGCGUAGAGAUCGGGAGGAACACCAGUGGCGAAAGCGGCCUUCUGGGCCGGUCCUGACGCUGAGGCGCGAAAGCGUGGGGAGCGAAC